rnacentral:lncRNA from 1 species
CAAAGUUGUGUUUUCCUUUGCUCUCAGUCCUGGCAGAGUGCUGAACAUGCUGUGGGUCCAGGUGAGCUCUCUCCCAGUGGGAGCAUCCAAUGAAGGCUGCAGCACAGAGCGGGUGGAAGAGCAGAGCCAGGAGCCCCAUGGGCGCAGCAGACGGGAAAAAAUGAGUCAGCCUGCAGUGAAUGCGCCGUGCUGCUUUUUCCUCCUCUCGAGGCAAUGAGAGCCUCGUUAGCCACCUUGCAGGCCAAGCCCGGGUCUCAGCUGUGUUUUGCCCCUGAGCAGAGGACUGUUCCCAUCUCUUUGGAGCAGCCCCAUCCCUCGGUGGGCACGGAGCCGGACUUCCAUUUGCCUGGGAAUGCAAAUCUCCCUCAUCUGUCCCACGCUGCCUUUGAAACAGGAGAAAGUCAGCCCUGCCAGGUCCUGGGGAGGCUUUUUCCUGCUCGUGGUGAUUUUGUCUUCAGCUGUGUUUGGAAGGAAACCAGCACGGCCACUUUCUCCCGGCCUCUGUAAAUCAUUCCUUCUCCCCCCCCCCAAUCCUUUCCCCUUUCAUACUAAAAUAAAGGAAAUAAUUAAAAGAG